GACGAACUUUGGCGGCGUGCUUAACACAUGCAAGUCGAACGGAAAGGCCCUGCUUUUGUGGGGUGCUCGAGUGGCGAACGGGUGAGUAACACGUGAGUAACCUGCCCUUGACUUUGGGAUAACUUCAGGAAACUGGGGCUAAUACCGGAUAGGAGCUCCUGCUGCAUGGUGGGGGUUGGAAAGUUUCGGCGGUUGGGGAUGGACUCGCGGCUUAUCAGCUUGUUGGUGGGGUAGUGGCUUACCAAGGCUUUGACGGGUAGCCGGCCUGAGAGGGUGACCGGCCACAUUGGGACUGAGAUACGGCCCAGACUCCUACGGGAGGCAGCAGUGGGGAAUAUUGCACAAUGGGCGGAAGCCUGAUGCAGCAACGCCGCGUGCGGGAUGACGGCCUUCGGGUUGUAAACCGCUUUCGCCUGUGACGAAGCGUGAGUGACGGUAAUGGGUAAAGAAGCACCGGCUAACUACGUGCCAGCAGCCGCGGUGAUACGUAGGGUGCGAGCGUUGUCCGGAUUUAUUGGGCGUAAAGGGCUCGUAGGUGGUUGAUCGCGUCGGAAGUGUAAUCUUGGGGCUUAACCCUGAGCGUGCUUUCGAUACGGGUUGACUUGAGGAAGGUAGGGGAGAAUGGAAUUCCUGGUGGAGCGGUGGAAUGCGCAGAUAUCAGGAGGAACACCAGUGGCGAAGGCGGUUCACUGGGCCUUUCCUGACGCUGAGGAGCGAAAGCGUGGGGAGCGAACAGGCUUAGAUACCCUGGUAGUCCACGCUGUAAACGGUGGGUACUAGGUGUGGGGUCCAUUCCACGGGUUCCGUGCCGUAGCUAACGCUUUAAGUACCCCGCCUGGGGAGUACGGCCGCAAGGCUAAAACUCAAAGGAAUUGACGGGGCCCCGCACAAGCGGCGGAGCAUGCGGAUUAAUUCGAUGCAACGCGUAGAACCUUACCUGGGUUUGACAUGGAUCGGGAGUGCUCAGAGAUGGGUGUGCCUCUUUUGGGGUCGGUUCACAGGUGGUGCAUGCCUGUCGUCAGCUCGUGUCGUGAGAUGUUGGGUUAAGUCCCGCAACGAGCGCAACCCUUGUUCACUGUUGCCAGCACGUUAUGGUGGGGACUCAGUGGAGACCGCCGGGGUCAACUCGGAGGAAGGUGGGGAUGACGUCAAGUCAUCAUGCCCCUUAUGUCCAGGGCUUCACGCAUGCUACAAUGGCUGGUACAGAGAGUGGCGAGCCUGUGAGGGUGAGCGAAUCUCGGAAAGCCGGUCUCAGUUCGGAUUGGGGUCUGCAACUCGACCUCAUGAAGUCGGAGUCGCUAGUAAUCGCAGAUCAGCAACGCUGCGGUGAAUACGUUCCCGGGGC
rnacentral:rRNA from 1 species